rnacentral:rRNA from 1 species
CACGUAGGCACCAAGCGUUGUCCGGAUUUAUUGGGCGUAAAGAGCUCGUAGGCGGUUCGGUAAGUCGGGUGUGAAAACUUUGGGCUCAACCCAAAGCCUGCACCCGAUACUGCUGUGACUUGAGUCCGGUAGGGGAGUGGGGAAUUCCUGGUGUAGCGGUGAAAUGCGUAGAUAUCAGGAGGAACACCUGCGGUGUAGACGGCUUUCUGGACCAUUACUGACACUGAGACACGAAAGCGUGGGUAGCAAACAGG